rnacentral:rRNA from 1 species
GUGCCAGCAGCCGCGGUAACACGUAGGAGGCGAGCGUUAUCCGGAUUUACUGGGCGUAAAGCGCGUGUAGGCGGUUCGGUAAGUUGGAUGUGAAAGCUCCUGGCUUAACUGGGAGAGGUCGUUCAAUACUACCGGACUUGAGAGUGGUAGAGGAAGGUGGAAUUCCGCGUGUAGUGGUGAAAUGCGUAGAUAUGCGGAGGAACACCAGUGGCGAAAGCGGCCUUCUGGCCCACUUCUGACGCUCAGACGCGAAAGCUAGGGGAGCAAACGGGAUUAGAGACCCCGGUAGUCCUAGCUGUAAACGAUGUGAACUUGGCGUUGGUGGGUUCAAAUCCAUCAGUGCCGUAGCUAACGCGGUAAGUUCACCGCCUGGGGACUACGGCCGCAAGGUUAAAACUCAAAGGAAUUGACGGGGCCCCGCACAAGCAGCGGAGCGUGUGGUUUAAUUCGAUGUUACACGAAGAACCUUACCAGGGUUUGACAUGCAAGUAGUAGGAAAAGGAAACUGGACCGACCCUUCGGGGAGCUUGCACAGGUGCUGCAUGGCUGUCGUCAGCUCGUGUCGUGAGAUGUUCGGUUAAGUCCGCUAACGAGCGCAACCCUCGUCACGUGUUACAUGUGUCACGUGGGACUGCCGGUCUUAAACCGGAGGAAGGUGAGGAUGACGUCAAGUCAGCAUGGCCUUUAUAUCCUGGGCUACACACACGCUACAAUGGUCAGCACAAUAGGUUGCCAAACCGCGAGGCGGAGCCAAUCCUCAAUGUUGGCCUCAGUUCAGAUUGCAGGCUGCAACCCGCCUGCAUGAAGCCGGAGUUGCUAGUAACCGGCAGGUCAGCUUAUUACGGGCGGGAAGAAUAAC